UACGAAGGGGGCUAGCGUUGCUCGGAAUCACUGGGCGUAAAGGGUACGUAGGCGGUGGAGUAAGUCAGUGGUGAAAGCCAACAGCUCAACUGUUGAACUGCCAUUGAUACUGCUUCACUUGAGUGCAGUUGAGGUGGGUGGAAUUCCAUGUGUAACGGUGAAAUGCUUAGAUAUAUGGAGGAACACCGAUAACGAAGGUAACUCACUAAACUGUAACUGACGCUGAGGUACGAAAGCGUGGGGAGCAAACGGG
rnacentral:rRNA from 1 species